AUUCACGGAACACCCGUGUUCCCUGGCACGCAGUAUGAGAAACACUAUCCUAGUGGUUUGAUUGUGAUGGUGCACAAUACUAUGCUCACCGAACGGGACCCCAUUAUCUUUAUGUUUAAAAGGCAAUUUCAGAAAAGAAGAGGGAUGGCUCCAGAAAGCUGAAGCUGAGUCAUUGGUGCUUUGGCAUAAAGAUGUCCAGUCUCACCCAUGAGACAUCUGGCCUUAUUAAAUGGCAACAUGUAGAGGGUGAGGAGGGAACCAACUGGAAAUCCAUUCAGAAACUGUAAAAAUAAUCAUAAUACAUUUACACAUCCUGUCUUAUUUGAUUAUUAAGUGAGUUCCUACCACUUGCUAUGAGUGCUUGCACCUGUGACCCUUGGUCUCGAGAAAGAUGGCGAACGAGUUUUUCUGUGUGCUGCCUCAAGUCUGCUAGUAGGACUGCCUGGAGUACCGUAAUGGAUCUGAUCCGUUAUGGUAGAUUGCACUGCGGUUGGCAAUUAUCCACCUCCCCUUCCUUGUGAGGAUUAUACAUCCCUGACCAUUGCCUUGUGACUAAGUGUGUGGAUCAUUCAAGCAGUGGUUUUAAGAGGCAUCAUGGAUUAUCACCGGCUCUCUGGCUCUUUCCCUCUGCCGUGGGAACAGCACACCUCAUGAUCCUUCAGCCUGGAUCCCAGAAAGUGCAGACCAGCAGCCAACUUCCAGCUUGGAGCUGAGCCACACACUGGAACAGAGCGGCAGCCAACCCUCGGCCUUCAGUAAUGAGCGCAUCCAGGAUACCACCUUACGUUUAGUUGUCAAGUCUCCUUUGGCUGCUCUUGGCUGUGACGGUUUCUCAGACAGACCAUGUUUUGAAUGACCUUGACAGUCUGAAGAAUAUUGAUCAGAGCUAAUCAUAGAUGUCAUGGGGGAAUAGAAGAUCAAAGAAUAAAGAGCAUCAAUUUAUUUUUCCUGCUGCAGCUCCUGUUAGGUUUCUAUCCAAAAUGUAACCUGAAUCUGCCUACUUCUCUCAUCUCCAUUGCUACAAGCCUAAUCUGAGCCAUCUUCAACCUCCUACCCGAGAUGAGAGUCUCCUGCCUGGCUGCCCUGCAUCCUCUCAUUUGGUCAUCCUGCAGUGGCCAUAAUGGUCUCUAUGAAGAGGUACCACUCACUCCUUAAGACCCUCCCAUGCUUUCUUCCCACUGCAUGUAGAAUGAGAGCUAAACUCCUCUCUAUAGCCUCCAAAAUCACUUGAUCUGGCAUCCCUGCCAGUUUUCAACCUCUCAUUGCUUGUUAUUGUCUUUUUUUGUUAUUGUUGCUGCUGUUGUUUGGGAAGGGGAACUCAAAAUCUGAGAGCUGUGUCAAUCAUACUCCUUAAUACAUGGUGCAUUGUCAUCUUUGAUCAACAUAGAUCCCUCGCUUGUUUGUUAGUUGGUUGGCUUAUUUCCUUUUGUCCAAAUUCCCCACUUGCACUUCCACUUCCUAACGUGUUUCAUUUUUAUGUCUUAUUAUAAAUUGUGUAUUGAUGUUUUGUGUACAUAUAUUUCUAAUUUAUGUAAAUGAUACUGUGUAAUAAAUCACAUUCUCCUUCUUUUCAAAUCCAGUGCUGUGUUUUGAAGAUACGUUUAUGCUGCAUGUUGCAUGUUGCCUCUAGUCUAUCUUCUCAUUGCUGUAUAUUACUCUCUGGUCCAUCCAUCACUUUUUGACUAUCUGUCCCCUGGGGAGUGGACACCCAGGUUAGCCUGGCUCCCACUCUGGACGACCACAAACAAUAAGCAUCCCAUUAUUGUGGACUUAUGUGAGAAUUGCUUUGCAGUAUAUUUCAGAGUGGAGUGGCUGGGUAAUCUUGUAUAUUUAAUUUGAAAAUAUACUGCCAAAUUGCUCUCCAGAAGGCUACAGCCUAUGUCCCCCCCAGCAAUGCAUAACAGCACCAUAAUCCCUGACCCAGUGUUCCUGCCAACCUAGGCAUUAUCCCGCUUUCUGAAUUUCAUCACUCAAAUAAUGGAAAGUUUAUGAUAGCUAAUGACUUUGAGCAUCUUAUAUGUAUCAUAGCACUUUAGGUCUCCUCUUAUGGAAAUUGCCUGUUCAUGGCCUUUGCCUAUUUUUCCCACUAGGAUUAUGUGUUUUUCUUGCUGAUUUUUGCAAAAGUUCCCUUCUAAUGCUGGAUAUAAUUCCCUGAAUGAUGUUAGACAAUGAAAAUAUUUUCUCCCAAAGUAUCAUCUGUCUGUUAACUUUAUCAAUGUUAUUUCUUGUUAAGUAGCAAUUUUUUGCUUUAAUAAAAUUGAAUUCACCUUUCUUUCCUUCAUGAUUUAUGUUUCUGAAUAUUUUUAGGAAGUCCUUUCUCACCACCAAGAUGCAGGUAAUAAGGCUUUUUGUUUUUCCCUUCCAGGGCUUGCAGCUCUUUUUUCCCAUUUCUUAUUGCUUGGAAAAGCCCUCCAGUUUAUGUUACAUAGUAGCAAUAAUAGCAUUUUUUUCUUGUUCCCAGUUUUAAAGUAACUGCAUCUUCAGUUUUUCCACAAGUAUAGUUUUUGUUGUGAAUUUUCAGUUAA